rnacentral:rRNA from 1 species
UACGUAGGGGGCCAGCGUUGUCCGGAUUCAUUGGGCGUAAAGCGCGUGUAGGCGGCCAGGUAGGUCCGAUGUGAAAUCUGGAGGCUCAACCUCCAGCGGUCAUUGGAAACCAUCUGGCUAGAGUCCGGAAGAGGAGAGUGGAAUUCCGUGGUGUAGCGGUGAAAUGCGCAGAUAUCAGGAAGAACACCGAUGGCGAAGGCAGCUCUCUGGGACGGUACUGACGCUGAGACGCGAAAGCGUGGGGAGCGAACGG